CAGCAGCCGCGGUAAUACGAAGGGUGCAAGCGUUAAUCGGAAUUACUGGGCGUAAAGCGUGCGUAGGCGGUUUGUUAAGUCUGUUGUGAAAUCCCCGGGCUCAACCUGGGAAUGGCAAUGGAUACUGGCAAGCUAGAGUGUGUCAGAGGAUGGUGGAAUUCCCGGUGUAGCGGUGAAAUGCGUAGAGAUCGGGAGGAACAUCAGUGGCGAAGGCGGCCAUCUGGGACAACACUGACGCUGAGGCGCGAAAGCGUGGGGAGCAAACAGGAUUAGAUACCCCUGUAGUCCCUGUCUCUUAUAA
rnacentral:rRNA from 1 species